GCAUGUCUCAGUACAAGCCGAAUUAAGGUGAAACCGCGAAAGGCUCAUUAAAUCAGUUAUGGUUCCUUAGAUCGUACCCACAUUUACUUGGAUAACUGUGGUAAUUCUAGAGCUAAUACAUGCAAACAGAGCUCCAACCGGAAACGGAAGGAGCGCUUUUAUUAGAUCAAAACCAAUCGGUGGCGGUCUCCGUCAUCGUACAACUUGGUGACUCUGAAUAACUUUACGCUGAUCGCACGGUCUCGCACCGGCGACGCAUCUUUCAAAUGUCUGCCUUAUCAACUGUCGAUGGUAGGUUCUGCGCCUACCAUGGUUGUAACGGGUAACGGGGAAUCAGGGUUCGAUUCCGGAGAGGGAGCCUGAGAAACGGCUACCACAUCCAAGGAAGGCAGCAGGCGCGCAAAUUACCCACUCCCGGCACGGGGAGGUAGUGACGAAAAAUAACGAUACGGGACUCAUCCGAGGCCCCGUAAUCGGAAUGAGUACACUCUAAACCCUUUAACGAGGAUCAAUUGGAGGGCAAGUCUGGUGCCAGCAGCCGCGGUAAUUCCAGCUCCAAUAGCGUAUAUUAAAGUUGUUGCGGUUAAAAAGCUCGUAGUCGAAUCUGUGUCCCGCGCCGCCGGUUCAUCGUUCGCGGUGUUAACUGGCGUGCCGCGGGACGUCCUGCCGGUGGGCUUAGCUCGAGAGGGCGGCCCAACUCAAUCCCGCCGCGGUGCUCUUCAUUGAGUGUCGAGGUGGGCCGGCACGUUUACUUUGAACAAAUUAGAGUGCUUAAAGCAGGCUAAAACUUCGCCUGAAUACUGUGUGCAUGGAAUAAUGGAAUAGGACCUCGGUUCUAUUUUGUUGGUUUUCGGAACCCCGAGGUAAUGAUUAAUAGGAACGGAUGGGGGCAUUCGUAUUGCGACGUUAGAGGUGAAAUUCUUGGAUCGUCGCAAGACGGACAG
rnacentral:rRNA from 1 species